GAGUUGCAUCUUGCAGGGCAGGGCAAGGCAAUGUGAGCUUUUGGUUGAAGCAGAAAGUGAAAUUGGAAGGUUCUUUAAUUGGAAGAUGGAGGAGUCAGUAGAAUCAAUAGCGGUUCCGGAUCACGACGAAGACGAUCCUUCAUCCACGAUUUUGGAUCUCACCAGUUACCAGCUCCACGACCUUGACUCGGUCGAGUUGCCUCCCACUCUCACCGAGUUGGACCUCACCGCGAAUCGCUUGUCCACGCUGGACCCGCGCAUAGCCAACCUCUCCCAUCUCAAGAAGCUCUCACUGCGCCAGAACCUCGUCACCGACGCCGCCGUUCUCCCUCUCUCUUCCUGGAGCGCCCUCGCCUCGCUCGAGGAGCUGGUGCUGCGGGAUAAUCAAUUGAGGAACAUUCCUGACGUCAGCAUAUUCCAGAAGCUUCUGGUAUUCGAUGUUUCGUUCAACGAGAUUAGUUCGCUACACGGCUGUGCCAAAGUCUCCGAUAUGCUCAAGGAACUCUACGUGUCCAAGAAUGAAGUUGCGAAGAUCGAGGAGAUCGACCACUUCCAUCAGCUGCAGAUUCUUGAACUCGGCUCCAAUAAAUUGCGGGUCAUGGAGAAUUUGCAGAGCCUUGUGAAUUUGCAGGAGCUGUGGCUCGGUCGGAAUCGAAUUAAAGUUGUGAAUCUAUGUGGUCUCAAUUGCAUUAAGAAGAUUAGUUUGCAAAGCAAUCGUCUCACUUCAAUGACGGGAUUUGAGGGCUGCGUAGCUCUAGAAGAACUAUACCUGAGCCAUAAUGGUAUUUCAAAAAUGGAAGGGUUGUCGACAUUAGUCAAUCUCCGGGUUUUAGACGUAUCUUCAAAUAAGUUAACUUCAGUGGAUGACAUUACGAACCUGACGCAAUUGGAAGAUUUGUGGCUAAACGACAACCAAAUAGAAUCACUUGAAGGAGUUGCUGAGGCUGUUGUUGGUUCGAGAGAGAAGCUUACAACCAUCUACCUGGAGCAUAACCCAUGUGCUAAGUCACCCAACUAUUCUGCAUUCCUUAGGGAAACAUUCCCCAACGUCCAACAAAUUGAUUCAUAUGUAUUUUCUUAAAAGUUUUUUGGCUUCAGCCUCUUUGUAAUCAGUUGCUUUGAAGCUUUGUCCUUGCAGAUCCAUUUGUUCCGCUUUGAAAGAUUGAUGAUUUAGCUCCAUCCACCUAAUGAAGAGAACAUGCUUACCAACCAUUGGACAAUAUUGUGUGGCCUGACCAUUUGUUACCUGUCGGAUGAAUAUGCUUGUUAUAUGUUACUGUUUUGCAGCCACAUUUCUUUUUAUUUAACAUUUCUUUGACGACCAAUUUUUGAGAAGCAUUGUAACGCUUUAUUUGUGUUGUUUAUUAUAUUUCCAGCUGCAGCUUGUGGUAUACAGAGGUGUAGAUUAAUGAUCGUCCAGAGAUUCAUUGAAAUUUGUUUUACUAAUUUCUUCUCCAUAACAAGUUAAUAUUAAUGGUCA